rnacentral:rRNA from 1 species
GACGAACCGAGCGAACGUUGUUCGGAAUCACUGGGCUUAAAGGGCGCGUAGGCGGGUGCUCAAGUCCGGGGUGAAAUCCUCCAGCUCAACUGGAGAGCUGCCUCGGAUACUGGGUGCCUCGAGGGUGGUAGGGGUAUGCGGAACUAUCGGUGGAGCGGUGAAAUGCGUUGAUAUCGAUAGGAACUCCGGUGGCGAAGGCGGCAUACUGGACCACAUCUGACGCUGAGGCGCGAAAGCCAGGGGAGCAAACGGG